rnacentral:rRNA from 1 species
GACGAAUGCUGGCGGCGUGCUUAACACAUGCAAGUCGAACGAUGAAGGAUAGCUUGCUCUCCGGAUUAGUGGCGAACGGGUGAGUAACACGUGACUAACCUGCCCCUUUCUCUGGGAUAACGCUCCGAAAGGAGUGCCAAUACCGGAUACGAACUCUGAACACAUGUUCGGAGCUGGAGAGUUCUUCGGCAAGGGAUGGAGUCGCGGCCUAUCAGCUUGUUGGUGAGGUAACGGCUCACCCAGGCGACGACGGGUAGCCGGCCUGAGAGGGCGGCCAGCCACACUGGGACGGAGACACGGCCCAGACUCCUACGGGAGGCAGCGGUGGGGAGUAUUGCACAAUGGGCGAAAGCCUGAUGCAGCGACGCCGCGUGAGGGAUGAAGGUCUUCGGAUUGUAAACCUCUUUCAGUAGGGACGAAGCGAAAGUGACGGUACCUAAAGAAGAAGCACCGGCUAACUACGUGCCAGCAGCCGCCGUAA